rnacentral:rRNA from 1 species
AUGAACGCUGGCGGCGUGCCUAAUACAUGCAAGUCGAGCGAACAGACGAGGAGCUUGCUCCUCUGACGUUAGCGGCGGACGGGUGAGUAACACGUGGAUAACCUACCUAUAAGACUGGGAUAACUUCGGGAAACCGGAGCUAAUACCGGAUAAUAUAUUGAACCGCAUGGUUCAAUAGUGAAAGACGGUUUUGCUGUCACUUAUAGAUGGAUCCGCGCCGCAUUAGCUAGUUGGUAAGGUAACGGCUUACCAAGGCGACGAUGCGUAGCCGACCUGAGAGGGUGAUCGGCCACACUGAAACUGAGACACGGUCCAGACUCCUACGGGAGGCAGCAGUAGGGAAUCUUCCGCAAUGGGCGAAAGCCUGACGGAGCAACGCCGCGUGAGUGAUGAAGGUCUUCGGAUCGUAAAACUCUGUUAUUAGGGAAGAACAAAUGUGUAAGUAACUAUGCACGUCUUGACGGUACCUAAUCAGAAAGCCACGGCUAACUACGUG